GAUGAACGCUGGCGGCGUGCCUAAUACAUGCAAGUCGAGCGAACGGACGAGAAGCUUGCUUCUCUGAUGUUAGCGGCGGACGGGUGAGUAACACGUGGAUAACCUACCUAUAAGACUGGGAUAACUUCGGGAAACCGGAGCUAAUACCGGAUAAUAUUUUGAACCGCAUGGUUCAAAAGUGAAAGACGGUCUUGCUGUCACUUAUAGAUGGAUCCGCGCUGCAUUAGCUAGUUGGUAAGGUAACGGCUUACCAGGGCAACGAUGCAUAGCCGACCUGAGAGGGUGAUCGGCCACACUGGAACUGAGACACGGUCCAGACUCCUACGGGAGGCAGCAGUAGGGAAUCGUCCGCAAUGGGCGAAAGCCUGACGGAGCAACGCCGCGUGAGUGAUGAAGGUCUUCGGAUCGUAAAACUCUGUUAUUAGGGAAGAACAUAUGUGUAAGUAACUGUGCACAUCUUGACGGUACCUAAUCAGAAAGCCACGGCUAACUACGUG
rnacentral:rRNA from 1 species